UAGGGAAUAUUGGACAAUGGGUGAGAGCCUGAUCCAGCCAUGCCGCGUGCAGGAAGAAGGCGUUAUGCGUUGUAAACUGCUUUUUGUCAGGGGAUAAAAUGACCGUGCGCGGUUAAUUGAAGGUACCUGGUGAAUAAGCCACGGCUAACUACGUGCCAGCAGCCGCGGUAAUACGUAGGUGGCAAGCGUUGUCCGGAUUUAUUGGGUUUAAAGGGUGCGUAGGUGGCCCUGUAAGUCAGUGGUGAAAUAUCUCAGCUUAACUGAGAGGGUGCCAUUGAUACUGCAGGGCUUGAGUACAGAUGAGGUAGGCGGAAUUGACGGUGUAGCGGUGAAAUGCAUAGAUAUCGUCAAGAACACCGAUAGCGAAGGCAGCUUACCAAGCUGUAACUGACACUGAGGCACGAAAGUGUGGGGAUCAAACAGGAUUAGAUACCCCCGUAGUCCCUGAGCGGGCUGGCAAGGCGCAU
rnacentral:rRNA from 1 species